GAUGAAGAACGCAGCGAAAUGCGAUAAGUAAUGCGAAUUGCAGAAUUCAGUGAGUCAUCGAAUCUUUGAACGCACAUUGCGCCCCUUGGUAUCCCGAGGGGCAUGCCUGUUCGAGCGUCAUUUCACCACUCAAGCCUGGCUUGGUGUUGGGCGACGUCCUCUUUGGGGACGCGCCUCGAAACGCUCGGCGGCGUGGCACCGGCUUUAAGCGUAGCAGAAUCUUUCGCUUUGGAAGUCGGGGCCCCGUCUGCCGGAAGACCUGCUCGCAAGGUUGACCUCGGAUCAGGCAGGGAUACCCGCUGAACUUAAGCAUAUCAAUAAGCGGAGGA
rnacentral:misc_RNA from 1 species